rnacentral:rRNA from 1 species
UACGUAGGCAGCAAGCGUUGUUCGGAGUUACUGGGCGUAAAGGGUGUGUAGGCGGUCCUCUAAGUUUGGUGUGAAAUCUCCCGGCUCAACUGGGAGGGUGCGCCGAAAACUGGGGGGCUAGAGUGCGGGAUGGGAAAGUGGAAUUCCUGGUGUAGCGGUGAAAUGCGUAGAUAUCAGGAGGAACACCUGUGGUGUAGACGGCUUUCUGGACCGCAACUGACGCUGAGACACGAAAAGCGUGGGUAGCAAACAGG